GACGAACGCUGGCGGCGUGCUUAAUACAUGCAAGUCGAACGCAUAUUCCCUGCUUUUUUGUUGUACUCGAUUGGCGAACGGGUUAGUAACACGUUAGUAACCUCCCCUUUACUCUGGUAUAACUUCAGGAAACUGGCGCUAAUACCGGAUCUGAUCCCCUGUUGCAUGUUGUGCGUUGGAGAGUUUCGGCGGUUGGGGCUGGCCUCGCGGCUUAUCAGCUUGUUGGUGGGUUAGUGGCCUACCAAGGCUUUGAAGGGUAGCCGGCCUGAGCGGGUGACCGGCGACAAGGGGCCUAAGAGAGGGCGCAGACGCGUACGGGAGGCAGUGGUGGGAAAUAUUGCACAGUGGGCGGAAGCGAGAGGCAGAAGCGCCGGGUGCGGGAUGACGGCCUUCGGGUGGAAAACCGCGUUCGCAGGUGACGAAGCGUGAGUGACGGUAAUGGGUAAAGAAGCACCGGCUAACUACGUG
rnacentral:rRNA from 1 species